GAUCUAAUAGCGAAAUUGGAAUCGCGUCCACUGCACUUGGGCCAGAACAAGCACAUGAAUCAAAGUGGAAGUCCCUCGUUCGACCCGAGGUUAGGUCC